rnacentral:rRNA from 1 species
UACGGGGGAGCAAGCGUUGUUCGGAUUUACUGGGCGUAAAGGGCGCGUAGGCGGCCACCGCAAGUCAAUUGUGAAAUCUCCGGGCUUAACUCGGAAAGGUCAACUGAUACUGCGGGGCUAGAGUGCGGAAGGGGCAACUGGAAUUCUCGGUGUAGCGGUGAAAUGCGUAGAUAUCGAGAGGAACACCUGCGGCGAAGGCGGGUUGCUGGGCCGACACGUGACGCUGAGGCGCGAAAGUGUGGGGAGCGA